rnacentral:rRNA from 1 species
CCAAUAGCGUAUAUUAAAGUUGUUGCAGUUAGAAAGCUCGUAGUUGAAUUUCGGGAUUGACACAUCGGUCGUGCCUUAAGGGGUAUGAACUGGUGUAGUCAAUUUCUCACCUUCUGGAGAACCGCGAUGCCCUUAAUUGGGUGUCGCGGGGAACCAGGACCUUUACUUUGAAAAAAUUAGAGUGUUUAAAGCAGGCAUUUUGCUUGAAUACAUUAGCAUGGAAUAAUAAAAUAGGACGGCAUGAUUCUAUUUUGUUGGUUUCUAGGAUCACCGUAAUGAUUAAUAGGGAUAGUUGGGGGCAUUAGUAUUCAAUUGUCAGAGGUGAAAUUCUUGGAUUUAUUGAAGACUAACUACUGCGAAAGCAUUUGCCAAGGAUGUUUUCAUUAAUCAAGAACGAAAGUUAGGGGAUCGAAGACGAUCAGAUACCGUCGUAGUCUUAACCAUAAACUAUGCCGACUAGGAAUCAGACGAUGUUAAUUUUUUAAUGACUCGUUUGGCACCUUACG